AAGUCGUAACAAGGUUUCCGUGCGGAAGGAUCAUUAACACGUAUCCAACGUUAAAACAACCCCGUGAACUUUCAGCUUGCUCCUGUAGCCCGUGAAAGCAGCAAUCCCUGGUAAAUCAUUGUUAUAGCUACGGUUGAGCGAUUGCAUCUAGUGACCUGGCAUCCCCAAGUAAUCAGUGUUCUGAAAGUGUCAUUGAUUGUGUAAGGAUGGCGCAGUCACGAUCGCUGUAGGCCCACACGGCCGGCGACCGGGUCACCGGGCUCUGCUCCUUUACGACAACUACAGUCUAACUUCGCCGCGCGUGAAAUUCGCACGGCACCAAAAACCGAACAACUGUUAACAAUGGAUAUCUUGGUUCUC
rnacentral:misc_RNA from 1 species